rnacentral:rRNA from 1 species
CCUACGGGUGGCAGCAGUGGGGAAUCUUCCGCAAUGGGCGAAAGCCUGACGGAGCAACGCCGCGUGAUCGAAUGAAGGCCUUCGGGUUGUAAAGAUCUGUUGACAGGGACGAAUAAGCAAUGCGAAUAGUUUUGUGUAUGACGGUACCUGAGGAAUAAGCCACGGCUAACUACGUGCCAGCAGCCGCGGUAAUACGUAGGUGGCAAGCGUUAUCCGGAUUUACUGGGUGUAAAGGGCGUGUAGGCGGGAAAGCAAGUCAGAUGUGAAAACCAUGGGCUCAACCUGUGGCCUGCAUUUGAAACUGUUUUUCUUGAGUACUGGAGAGGCAGACGGAAUUCCUAGUGUAGCGGUGAAAUGCGUAGAUAUUAGGAGGAACACCAGUGGCGAAGGCGGUCUGCUGGACAGCAACUGACGCUGAGGCGCGAAAGCGUGGGGAGCAAACAGGAUUAGAUACCCCAGUAGUC